rnacentral:rRNA from 1 species
UACAGAGGGUGCAAACGUUGCUCGGAAUUAUUGGGCGUAAAGCGCGUGUAGGCGGCUUGUUAAGUUGGUUGUGAAAACCCAUGGCUCAACCAUGGAAGGGCGUCCAAAACUGGCAAGCUAGAGUCCUGACGAGGAUGGCGGAAUUCCCAGUGUAGAGGUGAAAUUCGUAGAUAUUGGGAGGAACACCGGUGGCGAAGGCGGCCAUCUGGGAAGGCACUGACGCUGAGACGCGAAAGCGUGGGGAGCAAACAGG